UACGUAGGGACCAAGCGUUGUUCGGAUUUACUGGGCGUAAAGGGCGCGUAGGCGGUGCGGUAAGUCACUUGUGAAAUCUCCGAGCUUAACUCGGAACGGCCAAGUGAUACUGCAGUACUAGAGUCCGGAAGAGGCGAGUGGAAUUCCUGGUGUAGCGGUGGAAUGCGCAGAUAUCAGGAGGAACACCAAUAGCGAAGGCAGCUCGCUGGGACGGUACUGACGCUAAGGCGCGAAAGCGUGGGGAGCGAACAGG
rnacentral:rRNA from 1 species